AUGUAUGGUUUUUAUGAGGAUAUGAUUGUCACCAUGGAUCUUGGUGAUCCUGACAGCGAGGAAGACAAUAUGGACAUUUGGGUCCUUAUUGAUACGCUUCCGAUUGUACCGCUAUCUUAUUUUGAUUCUUCAAAGACUGUGCGGAAGAUGGUAGAUAAAACACAGUACACCGAAGGCACCCAAUUAACGUAUAAGGACAAAAAUCAUCUGAUCGCAUUUUGUACUCUUCUUGAGAAUUACAAUGACUAUUAUCGAACUCCUCCAAAUUAUGGUGAAUACGUGCCACUAGUGCAUGUGUUGAACAACGAUAACUUCUCUGGAGAUACCCUGGUAAGAUUUUUUACUAUUACGACAUCCGUGCAUCUUUUGCAUACUUCUAAAACUAGUACAUCAUUGCUAACUACGAAGUUAUUAUUAUGUUUUUCAACAGAAACUCCCGAUGGAUUGUGUGCCUCAUCUGAUGUCUCUGCAUGGUCGCCUCUCAGUUCUGAACAUACUGCCAGGUAA
rnacentral:rRNA from 1 species